rnacentral:rRNA from 1 species
AUUGAACGCUGGCGGCAUGCCUUACACAUGCAAGUCGAACGGUAACAGGUCUUCGGAUGCUGACGAGUGGCGAACGGGUGAGUAAUACAUCGGAACGUGCCUAGUAGUGGGGGAUAACUACUCGAAAGAGUGGCUAAUACCGCAUGAGAGCGACGGAUGAAAGCAGGGGAUCGCAAGACUUUGUGCUACUAGAGCGGCCGAUGGCAGAUUAGGGAGUUGGUGGGAUAAAAGCUUACCAAGCCGACGAUCUGUAGCUGGUCUGAGAGGACGAUCGGCCACACUGGGACUGAGACACGGCCCAGACUCCUACGGGAGGCAGCAGUGGGGAAUUUUGGACAAUGGGCGCAAGCCUGAUCCAGCAAUGCCGCGUGCAGGAUGAAGGCCUUCGGGUUGUAACUGCUUUUGUACGGAACGAAAAGCCCCGGGUUAAUACCCUGGGGUCAUGACGGUACCGUAAGAAUAAGCACCGGCUAACUACGUGCCAGCAGCCGCCGUAA